GAUAAUGAUCGGUCCGACAAUGAGCUGGAUGAAAAUGAACCUGUUAUUCCCAGAGACACCUCAUACAGGAGAGCCUCAGCUGUGAAGGCCAAGUACACGUUUGACUUCUCUGAGGAGGAGGAAGAGGAGGACGGUGAUGAAGAACAGGAGAAUGAUGCUUCAGCGUCACCUGUUCGCUCCAGUAAAGACACAGAGCAACACAACGACGAUGAAGAUGAUGACGAUGACAUUUCCCCUCCAAUAACAACAUUUACUAAUUUGUCCACUUCACCAGCGAAGAAGAAGGAUCCAGAGACGGUGUUGUCAUCUAAAGCUACCUUUGCUGACAAGAGCAGCGAUGACGAUGUGAAGUCAGACAGCGAUGAUGACAGGGGUCCAGUGUUCUCAUCAUAUUCCAGCAGUUCUGCUUUUGACAAACCUCCAGCUAAAAAAGGUACAACAUGAAAGUGAAAAGUCAACAUGAACUCAAAAUGUUAAUUUAUGUGUUCUACAUGUUAUUGUGAACAACUCAUCAGUGGCAAAGAAAAAUUCAGUAGGAUAUAUCAGUUUACAUUUCCAAACAUUCA